AUGCCACACCAAACAAAGGACAAGUCAUUAAGUAAAGUUAAUUUGAUGGUAUAGCACUACUAUGGGCGCUUUUGUAAUAUGAUAAAGAAUAUUUAGAAUUAAAGGGAGAUCAAUUAAGAAUUAAGACAAGUUUAUAAAUAGUAGUAUUAAUGUGCGUUGUGCACUAUUUAUUAUUAAAUAAAGACUAAUAUUGAGAAAAAAAGGAAAAUUAUCAUUCGCAUAUCCUAUAUUUACUCUGUUAUCAAAAAUACUACAACACUUUGAGGGUGUAUCAAUCGUCUACCCUUAGUUGACAAAAUGUAUCAGUCGACCACCAAACCGUUAGUUGCCGUUUGAAAGUUAACAGAAUUACAGUGAAUUGACGAUUUUACCCUUGAAAAUUAUCACUUGUAUACCCUUAAAUUCUCUUUUUAUCACUUGUAUAUCCUUAAAUUAUCACUUGUAUUAUAUGAAAAGACUAAAUUACCCUUCUGACGUCAUCAUACUUAAACGGCAACUAACGAUUUAGUGGUUAGCUGAUACAUUUUAUCAACUUAGGGUGGACGAUUAAUACACUUUUAAAAUAUUAUAGUAUUUUUUAUAAUAGAGUAAACUAAGGAUAUACAAAUGAUAAUUUUUCUAAAAGGGGUUAAAAUAGGAUUAAUAUCUAUUACUAAGGCUCC
rnacentral:lncRNA from 1 species